UAUCUCUGUAGAGUCUGCAUAUCAAUAAGCGGAGGAAAAGAAACUAACUAGGAUUCCCUCAGUAACGGCGAGUGAAGCGGGAAGAGCUCAAAUUUGAAAUCUUCAAGGUUCUACCUUGACGAAUUGUAGUUUAAAGAAGUGUUUUCUGUUGAAGUUUCGGUAAAAGUUCUUUGGAAUAGGACAUCAUAGAGGGUGAGAAUCCCGUAUUUGACCGUUAUUUUCAGCUGUGUGAUACACUUUCAAAGAGUCGGAUUGUUUGGGAAUGCAGUCCAAAAUGGGUGGUAAAUUUCAUCUAAAGCUAAAUAUUGGCGAGAGACCGAUAGCGAACAAGUACCGUGAGGGAAAGAUGAAAAGAACUUUGAAAAGAGAGUUAAACAGUACGUGAAAUUGUCAAAAGGGAAGCGUUUGACACCAGUGUUGUUUUCUCGAAAAUCAAUUAAAAAUGACUUGAUUUUGUGUUGUAUUGACCUUAAAAGCUUUCUUCACUUUUUUCAUGUCUUUUUUAAUGCACUUUUCGUUUAACAAGUCAACAUCAGUUUCUUUUGUUGUAAAAAGGUCAUUGGAAGGUGGCUUUCUUUUCGGAGAAAGUGUUUAUAGCCUUUGACUCCUGCAAUCGGAGAGAUUGAGGUCUGCAGCGUAGAUCCUUCGGGGUUAGAUACAUUUGUGCUAAGUUAUAGCCUUUCAUAGACAACUUGUUGACUAUGAUCAGUCAUGUAGCUUACUCGCUUAUGCUAUUUUACCUACGCUUAGGAUGUUGAGUCAUCACACAUCUCU
rnacentral:rRNA from 1 species